rnacentral:tRNA from 2 species
CGGGGCGUAGCGCAGCCUGGGUAGCGCACUUGGUUUGGGUCCAAGGGGUCGGGAGUUCAAAUCUCUCCGCCCCGA